UCCCUGGUGGCUCAGAUGGUAAAAGUAUCCGCCUGCAAUGCGGGAGACCUGGGUUUGAUCCCUGGGUUGGGAA
rfam:Ovis aries breed Texel chromosome 1, whole genome shotgun sequence.